CGGGGUGUAGCGUAGUCCGGUAACGCGUCCGCUUUGGGAGCGGAAGACCACAGGUUCGAAUCCUGUCACCCCGACCA
rnacentral:tRNA from 1 species